rnacentral:misc_RNA from 1 species
UCCUGGUUAACCCAGGCAGUCUCAUUAGAGUUCCCACCAUUACGUGUUGGCAACUAAUGAUAAGGGUUGCGCUCGUUGCUGGACUUAACCAAACACCUCACGGCACGAGCUGACGACAGCCAUGCAGCACCUGUGCAGCGGCUCCGAAGAGAGAUCCUAUUUCUAGGACUGUCCACUGCAUGUCAAGCCUGGGUAAGGUUCUUCGCGUUGCAUCGAAUUAAACCACAUGCUCCACUGCUUGUGCGGGUCCCCGUCAAUUCUUUUGAGUUUCACCCUUGCGAGCGUACUCCCCAGGCGGUAUACUUAUCGCGUUAGCUACGGCACAACCGGGGUUGAGUCCAGUUACACCAAGUAUACAUAGUUUACAGUAAGGACUAC